AUUGAACGCUGGGGCAGGCCUAACACCUUCAAGUCGGACGAGUGGCGGACGGGUGAGUAAUGUCUGGGACACUGCCCGAUGGAGGGGGAUAACUACUGGAAACGGUAGCUAAUACCGCAUACCAUCGGAUGUGCCCAGAUGGGAUGAGCUAGUAGGUGGGGUAACGGCUCACCUAGGCGACGAUCCCUAGCUGGUCUGAGAGGAUGACCAGCCACACUGGAACUGAGACACGGUCCAGAAUCCUACGGGAGGCAGCAGUGGGGAAUAUUGGACAAUGGGCGAAAGCCUGAUGCAGCCAUGCCGCGUGUAUGAAGAAGGCCUUCGGGUUGUAAAGUACUUUCAGCGGGGAGGCGUUACCUGCAGAAGAAGCACCGGCUAACUCCGUGCCAGCAGCCGCGGUAAUUC
rnacentral:rRNA from 1 species